GUCCAGUUUAGCCUAGUGGACAUGGCAUCUGCCCGGUAAGCGGAACACUGUGGGUUUGAUUCCCAUCCCUGUACA
rnacentral:tRNA from 1 species